AUGGCCACAACAUGCUGAAAACACCAGUUCUCGUUCGUUCACUGAAGUUAAGCAUCAUUGGGUACUGUCAGUACUUGGGAGGAUGACCACCUGGGAACACUGCGUGCCGCGU